GGCAAUGGAGGUGACCUUGUUCUUUUUGCAACAGAGUAGUUGGUGGUCCUGGUGGGAGCAGCAUCAACAGCAACAUUGUUUGCAGUUGGAGAGGUUCUUUGAGGAAUUUGAGAAUCAGAUGUACUGGAAAGAACAUUUGACCUAGCACCCAAACUAGGAGGAGAUGUGGACGACCUUCUAGAUUCCUUCUGGAAAACUCCAUUUGCAGGUGAUAUAGGUGGUGACCUAGUUUGCUUUGGCACAUGGACAUCUACAACAUCAUUCAUAAAACUUCUUGCAGAACCAUGAGAGCC
rnacentral:misc_RNA from 1 species